CUCGCCUCACUCUCAUAUCACCGCUCUGCAGUGCAUGCUUCCCCGUUCUCGCUAUGAAGGGGCGGGCCAUAAAGCAACUAACCAAUCAUGGCACGUUUCUUCUAACAAAAAUGUCACUUUGACCAAUCCCUAUCCUUCUGAUUUAGAGCUCAGAGCACUUGCUUUGUGUGAGUGACAGGAGGGUGGGCGUGUACUCUGUAAGGCUUCCAGCGCUGCUGUCUCUGGCCUGUCUGCCAAAAAGCCGAUCAACUUUUUUUCAUUGGCCUGCCAGUCCGUGGCUGGCCUGUCCAGGCAGGCCAAUAAGGAGGCAGGCCACUGGGAAAAGUCCCGCCUCUCCCAAUUGCCAGUCCGGGCCUGGCUGAAGGGUGUUUACAGUCUGCCUGCGUCAAAUGAAAAUGUAGCAACUGUAACUGAUCUUACACAUUUUACAUGCAUAGUUUUACCAGCUGUCAUCAGAAAACACUAAAUCAUCAUAUGUGGAAAACAUGACCCAGGAAGGAUUACGAGCCAGGAGGGAAAGAACAAGUGAGCAAAAAGAAUUCAAAGUUGCUGUUGUUGGAGAUGCUGCCUGUGGGAAAACCUCUGAUCAAAACUUACACCACAGGAGUCUAUCCAGAGUUUUGUGUGCCAACUGUAUUCGAUUUUGCUGCUGCCAAUACAGUGUUUGAAGGACAACAGUUUCAACUCAACAUUUGGGACUGUUCAGGUAAGGUCUCAUUCUUUACAUACAUUUUGGAAGUCACUUCGUUGAACAGGUAAGUCAAGGCUGUGGAGGGUGUGUCCUGUCAGUCCUUGACAGCAUGAGAGAAACCCAAUCACAUGGCUUCUUGUCUUAAUCCUAACUUUGUGAUGGUUAAAAUGACCUGAGAUAGUUUUUCUUGUUUUUAUUUUAACAAAUUGUUUAUGAUUUUGUUGAUUUAAUUUCAUUUUGAUUCAUUACAAAGCACAAAACGGUAAAAUAUAGCAGUGUAUAAUUUCAACUGCUUAUUUUGAUUCUGUCAAUAUCAGGCAGUGACAGCUGUGAUCGCUUGCGGCCCCUGUGCUACAGUGAUGUCGAUGUGGUGCUGAUCUGCUACGAUGUCAUGAGUCCUACAAGCUUUAAUAAUGUCUUCCAUAAGUGGUACCCUGAGGUGAAGCACUUCUGUGAUGGAGUGCCCAUUAUUCUUGUUGGGUGCAAAACAGAUCUUCGCUCAGACAAAGACGUGGAAGAGGAACUCUGGUCACAGGGCCAGAACCCCAUCAACUAUACUCAGAAAACAUGACCCAGAAAGGAUCAGGAGCCAGCAGGGAAAGCACAAGUGAACAAAAAGAAUUCAAAGUUGCUAUUGUUGGAGAAGGGCUCUGUGGGAGAAACUCACUGAUCAAAACUUACACCACAGGAGUCUUUCCAGAGUAUUGGACACCAACUGUAUUUGAGUCUACUGUUGCCAAUACAGUGUUUGAAGGACAAGAGUUUCAACUAAACAUCUUGGACUGUUCAGCCAUAAAGGACUAUGAUCGCUUGCGGCCCUUGAGCUACAGUGAUGUCGAUGUGGUGCUGAUCUGCUACGAUGUCAUGAGUCCUUCAAGCUUUCAUAAUGUCUUCCAGAAGUGGUAUCCUGAGGUGAAGCACUUCUGUGUUGGGGUGCCCAUUAUUCUUGUUGGGUGCAAAACAGACCUUCGCUCAGACAAAUUCCUGGAAGAGGAGCUCUGGUCAUUGGGCCAGAACUACAUCAAGUAUACUCAGGGUGAAGAGGCUGGAAGAAAAAUAAAUGCAGCGGCGUACUUAGAGUGCUCUGCCAGAUGCAAUGAAAAUGUGGAGAAUGUAUUCAGAGAAGCAAUAAAACAAGCACUAAUGGCAAAGA